GCUACCUACGGGACGCAGCAGUAGGGAAUCUUCCACAAUGGGCGAAAGCCUGAUGGAGCAACGCCGCGUGGGUGAAGAAGGUCUUCGGAUCGUAAAACCCUGUUGUUAGAGAAGAAAAUGCGUGAGAGUAACUAUUCACGUUUCGACGGUAUCUAACCAGAAAGCCACUGCUAACUACGUGCCAGCAGCCGCGGUAAUACGUAGGUGGCAAGCGUUAUCCGGAUUUAUUGGGCGUAAAGGGAACGCAGGCGGUCUUUUAAGUCUGAUGUGAACGCCUUCGGCUUAACCGGAGUAGUGCAUUGGAA
rnacentral:rRNA from 1 species